rnacentral:rRNA from 1 species
UACGUAGGGUGCGAGCGUUAAUCGGAAUUACUGGGCGUAAAGCGUGCGCAGGCGGUUCGUUGUGUCGGCGGUGAAAGCCCCGGGCUUAACCUGGGAAUGGCCGUUGAAACUGGCGAACUGGAGUGUGGCAGAGGGGGGUGGAAUUCCGCGUGUAGAGGUGAAAUUCGUAGAUAUUCGGAAGAACACCAGUGGCGAAGGCGACUACCUGGUCUGGCAUUGACGCUCAUGUGCGAAAGCGUGGGGAGCAAACAGG